GCUCAGGACGAACGCUGGCGGCGUGCCUAAUACAUGCAAGUCGAGCGAACAGAAGGGAGCUUGCUCCCGGAUGUUAGCGGCGGACGGGUGAGUAACACGUGGGUAACCUGCCUGUAAGACUGGGAUAACUCCGGGAAACCGGAGCUAAUACCGGAUAGUUCCUUGAACCGCAUGGUUCAAGGAUGAAAGACGGUUUCGGCUGUCACUUACAGAUGGACCCGCGGCGCAUUAGCUAGUUGGUGGGGUAAUGGCUCACCAAGGCGACGAUGCGUAGCCGACCUGAGAGGGUGAUCGGCCACACUGGGACUGAGACACGGCCCAGACUCCUACGGGAGGCAGCAGUAGGGAAUCUUCCGCAAUGGACGAAAGUCUGACGGAGCAACGCCGCGUGAGUGAUGAAGGUUUUCGGAUCGUAAAGCUCUGUUGUUAGGGAAGAACAAGUGCGAGAGUAACUGCUCGCACCUUGACGGUACCUAACCAGAAAGCCACGGCUAACUACGUGCCAGCAGCCGCGGUAAUACGUAGGUGGCAAGCGUUGUCCGGAAUUAUUGGGCGUAAAGGGCUCGCAGGCGGUUUCUUAAGUCUGAUGUGAAAGCCCCCGGCUCAACCGGGGAGGGUCAUUGGAAACUGGGAAACUUGAGUGCAGAAGAGGAGAGUGGAAUUCCACGUGUAGCGGUGAAAUGCGUAGAGAUGUGGAGGAACACCAGUGGCGAAGGCGACUCUCUGGUCUGUAACUGACGCUGAGGAGCGAAAGCGUGGGGAGCGAACAGGAUUAGAUACCCUGGUAGUCCACGCCGUAAACGAUGAGUGCUAAGUGUUAGGGGGUUUCCGCCCCUUAGUGCUGCAGCUAACGCAUAAGCA
rnacentral:rRNA from 1 species